rnacentral:rRNA from 1 species
UGAGGAAUUUUCCGCAAUGGGCGCAAGCCUGACGGAGCAAUACCGCGUGGAAGAUGAAGGCUUUUGAGUCGUAAACUCCUUUUCUUAGUGAAGAAAAUAGACGGUAACUAAGGAAUAAGCAUCGGCUAAUUCCGUGCCAGCAGCCGCGGUAAUACGGAAGAUGCAAGCGUUAUUCGGAAUUAUUGGGCGUAAAGCGUCUGUAGGUGGCUUUUUAAGUCUACUGUUAAAUAUCAAGGCUUAACCUUGAAAAAGCGGUAAGAAACUAAAAGGCUUGAGUUUAGUAGAGGUAAGGGGAAUUCUCGGUGUAGUGGUGAAAUGCGUAGAUAUCGGGAAGAACACCUGCGGCGAAAGCGCUUUACUGGGCUAAAACUGACACUGAGAGACGAAAGCUGGGGGAGCGAAUAGGAUUAGAUACCCCCGUAGUCC